rnacentral:rRNA from 1 species
CUUGGUCAUUUAGAGGAAGUAAAAGUCGUAACAAGGUUUCCGUAGGUGAACCUGCGGAAGGAUCAUUACAGAAUAAACUUGAUGGGUUGUAGCUGGUUCUCUCGGGAGCAUGUGCUCGCCUGUCACUUUUGUUUUUCCACCUGUGCACCAUUUGUAGCCUUGGAAUUAUAAAACUAUCUGAAUGCUUUUCAGUAUGAGGGUUUGCUGGGCCACACUUGGCUAAGCUUCCCUUGCUUGUUUCAAGGCUAUGUUUUCUUUUAUACACCCCUGUAGUAUGUCUCAGAAUGAUAUUCAAGGGCCCCUAGUGCCUAUAAAGUUUAUACGACUUUCAGCAACGGAUCUCUUGGCUCUCGCAUCGAUGAAGAACGCAGCGAAAUGCGAUAAGUAAUGUGAAUUGCAGAAUUCAGUGAGUCAUCGAAUCUUUGAACGCACAUUGCGCCCUGUGGUAUUCCGCAGGGCAUGCCUGUUCGAGCGUCAUUUCAACCCUCAAGCUCUGCUUGGUGUUGGGCCCCGCCCGCUCGCGGCCGGCCCUAAAGACAGUGGCGGCAGCGUCUGGCUCCAAGCGUAGUACAAUCCUCGCUCUGGUGCUAGGCGGUGGCCUGCCAGAACCCCCCUUCUAUGGUUGACCUCGGAUCAGGUAGGGUAUACCCGCUGAACUUAAGCAUAUCAAUAAGCGGAGGA